GAAAUGAAUAAAUCAUUUUUCCAUAUACCAAUGGUACACGCACAACGGUACAUGGAUUUUAAUUUUAAAAUCGAUAUCAAACUAAACUUUUAAUUUUAUACGUAAAUCAACUUCAUAGAAAAUUCACUCAUCAAAUACAAAACUAUACAAGCGUUCGGUUCGAAUAGACUGUGUAUUAAAUAUAAAUAAAUGCAAAUUUGUCGAUAGACGCCGACCGAUGCAGCUGUUAAACGACGUUUAUCAUGUUCA